AUAGUCUUUAUCAUUAGCAUUUUGCAAUCCACCAACUUUGCAAUACGCACGGCCUGACCAUCUUGUUGAAGCUAUUUUCAUUUUCCCGUAUACUUUGCGGGGACAGCUUUGACAAGUAACCCAUCGCCAAAGACUCCCACGCAUGGUACCUAGAAAAACCGUUUUCGGGUCAAAUCUGUUUUUGGCUAUAGGUUUGGAACAAAAACAUACGCAUAUUGUCCGGAAGCUUUAAAGUCGUGAUGUUGGCUGGGCUAAAUGGAGGAUGUCAAAAAAAAAAGACUUGCCCAUGGCUUGACGACACUGUGUUGAGCCCAGAUACCUCCGUCAAAGGUUUCAUAAGAGGCGAGCCAUCGAUCGAUGAAUAGAGAGUUGGGUUGGGAUAUGAUGAUUGCGUUCUGUUUUUAGAUGUCAGAUUUGUUAAUAGACAUCAAGCAUUUUGAACUAGGGAGACGAACUCACACAAAGACCUUCGGGAUCGAGAGCAGAUCGUCUAGAGUCAGGGGACGCUUCCAUACCCAGUGUCGUAGGGUAGUACAGUAGAUCGUCAAACGGUUUAGUGCUAGUCUUUUUUCAUCAGCCGUUAUUUUCCCCAUAUAUCGGUGGCUAGAGACGUACACGUAAAUAUCAAUAUCGAGAUAUAUCCCGCCGGAAUACUUCAUUGCCAGUAAUCGAAGUACGUCGGCUUUAUGCGCAAAGUGCUUGAGUGGGCGUCCAUAGAUACUUUCGGGGACUUGGGUCUUGAUCAGCGUGAGGUGUGGUCGGAUGAGGUCCCACCAUGGACCUGUAGGGAGAUGUUCAUAGUGGCUGUAGCGUAUGCGUGAUUAGCAGAGUUGCGCUUACAAGUAGAUUUGCGCUUACAAGUAGAUGGCUUUUGGUUUGAGAUUGAUCAAGGCGCUACGCAUAGCUAGGUAGGCAUAGUAGGGUAAUUCUUCUCCUGUUUUCCCCUCGGGCACGGGUUUGAGGCCGUAUACAUAGUGGACUGCAUCGGGGACGAGCAUGCCCUUCUUCUUGGGCUGGAGGGGUUCGGGUAUGUAGCUCGGGCGAUCUGGCGGAGGGGGGGCGAGAAAGUCGCUGGGUUUUACGAGGAAUGGAGAGGAGGUGUA
rnacentral:sRNA from 1 species